rnacentral:misc_RNA from 1 species
GAUGAAGAACGUAGCGAAAUGCGAUAAGUAAUGUGAAUUGCAGAAUUCAGUGAAUCAUCGAAUCUUUGAACGCACAUUGCGCCCGCCAGUAUUCUGGCGGGCAUGCCUGUCCGAGCGUCAUUUCAACCCUCGAACCCCUCCGGGGGGUCGGCGUCGGGGAUCGGCCCUUUCACCGGGUGCCGGCCCCUAAAUACAGUGGCGGUCUCGCCGCAGCCUCUCAUGCGCAGUAGUUUGCACACUCGCACCGGGAGCGCGGCGCGUCCACGUCCGUAAAACACCCCAACUUCUGAAAUGUUGACCUCGGAUCAGGUAGGAAUACCCGCUGAACUUAAGCAUAUCAAUAAGCGGAGGA